rnacentral:rRNA from 1 species
CCUACGGGGGGCUGCAGUGAGGAAUAUUGGUCAAUGGACGAGAGUCUGAACCAGCCAAGUAGCGUGAAGGAUGACUGCCCUAUGGGUUGUAAACUUCUUUUAUAUGGGAAUAAAAUGUUCCACGUGUGGGAUUUUGUAUGUACCAUAUGAAUAAGGAUCGGCUAACUCUGUGCCAGCAGCCGCGGUAAUACGGAGGAUCCGAGCGUUAUCCGGAUUUAUUGGGUUUAAAGGGAGCGUAGGUGGAUUGUUAAGUCAGUUGUGAAAGUUUGCGGCUCAACCGUAAAAUUGCAGUUGAAACUGGCAGUCUUGAGUACAGUAGAGGUGAGCGGAAUUCGUGGUGUAGCGGUGAAAUGCUUAGAUAUCACGAAGAACUCCGAUUGCGAAGGCAGUUCACUGGACUGCAACUGACACUGAGGCUCGAAAGUGUGGGUAUCAAACAGGAUUAGAUACCCUUGUAGUC